AUACUUACCUGGCAGGGGAGCUACCAUGAUCACCAAGGUGGUUCUCCCAGGGCGAGGCUCAUCCAUUGCACUCCGGGUGUGCUGACCCCUGUGAUUUCCCCAAAUGCAGGAAACUCGACUGCAUAAUUUGUGGAUUAUUUAAUUAAAAUAAUUAAAA
rnacentral:snRNA from 1 species